CGAUGGUACGGAAUAGCUCAGGGAAACUUGAGGUAAUACCGUAUAUUCCCGUGAGGGGAAAGAUUUAUCGCCAUCGGAUGGGCCCGCAUCGGAUUAGCUAGUUGGUGAGGUAAUGGCUCACCAAGGCUACGAUCCGUAGCUGGUCUGAGAGGACGACCAGCCACACUGGGACUGAGACACGGACCAGACUCCUACGGGAGGCAGCAGUGAGGGAUAUUGGGCAAUGGGCGAGAGCCUGACCCAGCCAUGCCGCGUGCAGGAAGACGGUCCUAUGGAUUGUAAACUGCUUUUAUACGGGAAGAAACACUCCGACGCGUCGGAGCUUGACGGUACCGUAAGAAUAAGGAUCGGCUAACUCCGUGCCAGCAGCCGCGGUAAUACGGAGGAUCCAAGCGUUAUCCGGAAUCAUUGGGUUUAAAGGGUCCGUAGGCGGGUCUAUAAGUCAGUGGUGAAAUCCGGCAGCUCAACUGUCGAACUGCCAUUGAUACUGUAGGUCUUGAAUUUUUGUGAAGUAGCUAGAAUAUGUAGUGUAGCGGUGAAAUGCUUAGAUAUUACAUGGAAUACCGAUUGCGAAGGCAGGUUACUAACAAAACAUUGACGCUGAGGGACGAAAGCGUGGGUAGCGAACAGGAUUAGAUACCCUGGUAGUCCACGCUGUAAACGAUGGAUACUAGCUGUUGGUUGUACAUUGGUAUGAUCAGUGGCUAAGCGAAAGUGAUAAGUAUCCCACCUGGGGAGUACGAACGCAAGUUUGAAACUCAAAGGAAUUGACGGGGGCCCGCACAAGCGGUGGAGCAUGUGGUUUAAUUCGAUGAUACGCGAGGAACCUUACCGGGGCUUAAAUGUAGAGUGACGUAUUUGGAAACAGAUAUUUCUUCGGACACUUUACAGGGUGCUGCAUGGUUGUCGUCAGCUCGUGCCGUGAGGUGUCAGGUUAAGUCCUAUAACGA
rnacentral:rRNA from 1 species